rnacentral:ncRNA from 2 species
UGCUUAUCCAGAAAGGUUGAGGGAUUAGGCCCGUUGAAACCUUGGCAACCUGCCCGUGCGGCAAGGUGCCAACUCCUACCCGUAAGGGACAGAUAAGUC